CAGUGUCUGUGUGCAUUUGAUGUUGCCAUCAGAAUGCAAAGAAUGGUUUAGAUUGGAAGGGACUUCAAAGCUCAGCCAGUUCCAGCCCCUUGCCAUAGGCAGGGACACCUCCCACUAAAACAGGUUGCUCAAGGCCUCAUCCAGCCUGGCCUUGAACACCUCCAGGGAGGGAGCAUCCACAGCCUCCCAGGACAACUUUUUCCAGAGUCUCACCACCCUCACUGUGAAGAACCCUUUCCUAACAUCUAGUUUGAAUCUCCCCUCUGCCAGUUUAAACCUAUUACCCCUUGUCCUGUCAUUACAAGACCUUGUAAACAGUCCCUCCCCAGUCUUCCUUUAGGUCCCCUUCAGAUGCUGGAAGGCCACUAAAAAUUCUCCUUGAAGCUUCCUCUUCUCCAGGCUGAAAAGCCCCAGCUCUUGUAGCCUGUCCUUAUAGCAGAGGUGCUCCAUCCCUCUGAUCAUCUUUGUGGCUCCCCUCUGGACUUGCUCCAACAGUUCAAUGUCCUUCUUGUGUUGGGGGCUCCAGAACUGCACACAGUGCUGCAGGUGGGGUCUCAGGAGAGCAGAAUAAAGGGGGAGAAUCCCCUCCCUUGCUUUACUGGCCCCACUGCUCUUGCUGCAGCCCAGCACACAGUUGUGGUCUGGGCUGCAUAUGCACACUGCCAGCUCAUGUUGAGAGCUUUUCACCAACCCAGACUCUUAGGUCCUUUUCCUCAGGGCUGCUCUCAGCCAUUCACCACCCAGCCUGGAUUUGUGCUUGGGAUUGCACUGAUGCAGGUGCAGGACCUUACACUUGGCCUUGUUGAAUUUCAUGAGGUUGGCCUGGGCCUGUUGGCUUGAGUUUUGAUUGGAAAAGCUUUAGUAGUUUCAUCUUGAUGGCUCAUCAGCAUGUUAUUGCACUCUAAAGUAAACAAAUCUAGGUAAAGGAGUUAGAUUUCAGGAUAUUUUGCCAUAUCAGUAGUUUAUGUUGAUCACUUGAUCGCAGCCUUCUUGCCAGCUCUACUUGGUUACUUUUUACUUAGAGAUAUAUUAAGUACAUUGUUUUAUCCUGGUAAACUACUCUCACUUCCAGUAUGAGCUUUCAAGAUGAGUGUUGCGCUGUGUUGGAUUCUUAAUGGUAAGUAAUUAGAGGAGCACUUCUGUCUCUGCAGAUCUGAAUAGGAGGAAAGUCCUUGGUAGAGUGGAAAUCUUCUGUGAGGGGAAUAAUAAGCAUUGUCAAAGACUGUGUUGAAUGGUAAAGCAGUAGCAGAGCAGCUCCUCUAAGACUCAUCAAGUUAGAUGGUCUCGCUGAGAGCUCUGGGAAGAAGAAGUAAACUUUCUCCAUUUUGCUGCUCUUCUGCCUUUGCCUUCAGACCUGGUCACAUCUCAUUAACCCUGCUCCCACUAACCCUGCUCCCUAACCUCUUGGCUGCACCUCUUUUCUUCCUGAGAACUGGGUGGCUUGCCAGUUAUUUUUAUCUACCUGGUCAACUUGGUGCUUCAGAAAACAAAGAUGCUCAAGAUCCAUCAGUGACAGUGAGCUUUCCACUGGAUGAAGAGGCAAGUGUUUCUCUUGUUGCUGGGACCACGACUCCUUGGACCUUGCCCAGUAAUCUGGCCCUUGUGUUAAUGCAGAGUUGCAAUAUGUAGAAUGGAGAGGCAAGUGUUAACUGAAGGGGACAUGUAAUGAACAUUUUCUUCUUUGAACCCUAGAGUGCCACAGGACAGAUUUCCAUUUGGAUGGAAUCCAGGCUGGUAGCACUGCACAAACCUGAAAGUGAAUAGGAAAUACUUGACAGGUUUCCUGGCAUUGCUCUUAAAGGCAAGAAAUAUAAACCACUCUUUGACUAUUUUGUUCAGUGCAAAGAUAAAGGUGCCUUUGCUGUGGUAGUAGACAGUUACGUGAAGGAGGAAGAGGGCACAGGCGUUGUACACCAGGCUCCCUAUUUUAGUGCUAUACAGCAGCACUGAGUUUUCAUCAGUGAGCUGUUUAAUAGCUUCUGCUUCAUUCAUUUGGAUGAUGACAGAGUCUGCAUGGACUUGAAUAGAAUUCAGAAGGGUGCUGUGGCUGUUUGUGCCGUCGAUGCAUCUGGCUGCUUCACAGCAGAGGUGGCUGACUUGGCUGGACAGUAUGUGAAGAUGUGGUCAUCAAGCUUGUGCCAGCCAGGUAGUGUAACACGACUUGUCAGAGGAGAGAAGUCCACUCAUUUUCCCUACUUGUGGGAUGUGUU